CAAACUCUGCUUCUCCCAGGGAGCCUCCCCAGCUGCCCAUGGCACUGACCCUACCAGGUGCAGUGUGUCAUUUUCCACCCCCUUGCCCUACAUGGAAAGGUGAGAUGAGAGCCAGACCCACCCCAUCAGAGCCUUGGAGACUGCACCAGGGAUAUGAGAUCCCACAUGGAACAGGAUGGAGGCUGGUCCACUGCUACAGGGAGCACCCACAGCCCUCUGAUUUCACCAAUGCUGAGAUACAGAGUUCCUGGAUGCCACAAGAACUUGUGCACUUCAAAAAAUCAAAAUCAGGUCAAGGUGUCAAGCUCUUGCUUGGUGCUUUCUGAGUCUAUGUCGUGACAUCUCUGCACAUCUCUGUGUUAGACCAGAGAGCUUUCAGCAGAAUCACUCCUUCCUAACAGGAGAAAUCUGCAGUGUUGUGAUAUCAGACUGCAUUUACCAUAUGCCACAUUUAAAUGCAGAAGUUUUCAUUGGCCCAGCAUUGAUCUGAAACAUGCUAAGCCUUUGGAAGGAAAAUAGAGAGAGAGAAAGAGAGAAAAAGAGAGGGGAAACAACCUCAUCCCUUUGACAAGUUACCUUACCAGCAACCAGCUUCCAGGAUCCUGGCAGACUGGGAGCUCUCCUAGGGGAGAGAAGGGGGUGCUGAGACCUGCACAUGAAAUGCAGUCCAUCACAUGGCAAUGCUCUUUAUCAUUCAUAUUCUACUCCUGUAUGGUUAGUAAAACCCACAGACACUGAAGUUGCACUUUAUCAGCAUGUUUCUGUUCCUGCACGUGACCAUCAUCAAAGAGCUCUGCCAGCAGCUAAAGCUAUGAACAAGAAAAAACUACCAAUAAUCCCAGGCUCUGUAGUUUUCUCUGAAGCAGCUUUGACAGGACUUGUUGAACAGACAAGAGAGCCCUGAAACUUUCAAGAUGAAAGCAGAAAUACAAGCAAAACUGUCAAACUUCAUUUGAGUUAACACCUCUAUUAAAUAUUGUGACCACCAGAAAUACUUUUCCAGAAAUGCAGGCACGAGACUAAAUACAUAACUGAAAGGCAUUGCUCCUGGACUGUAACCCCAGCUCUGCCACUGACUCUUUCAGUGAUUUCAUUUGGAGUAUUUAUCCCUUGGUCACACCACCUUCCCCACUGGCAAAUGAGCAUGAGGAUACUGAAUUUCCUGGGUGAAGCUGAGGCAAGCGUGUGUGUUCUGACAUCUGUUCCUAAGGCAAGUACCAUACUUGUGUAAAAUAAUCAAUAUGUUCUCCACAUGUUAAUUCCUGUCUCUAUUUUGCUAGUGCCAGCAACUCUGCUAUUUAUUUUAAUUGAGAAGCUUCAUACUCCUUUUUCCAUGGGUUCCCAAACCAUACUACACCUCGUGGGAAGCUGCUUCUAAUAAACGCCUGUAAAUCCAUCUCAUUCUUGAUUUAAAUCCUUACAUCACAGCAAUUCUGCCACCAUAAAACACGAUGAUGGUGAUGAUGAGGCAAGCUCGUGAGCUGACACCUCCUUGUGCUGUGCCAAAGCCAGCUGUGACUGCACUGCAAUGAAAUCACGAGCAGGAGGUGUCUGAAGCAGCACUCUCCACACAUGUGUGAGCCAGGGGGUUUCUGUACAGCACCAUCAGGAGAAGGCAGCCUCAGUCAGGGGAAGCUGAGAGCAGGUUUGAGACAAACCAGAGGAAGAAGUUUUCCACACAAUGCCAGCUGUGGAGGUCGUGACCACAUGAGCUCAAAAUGGGAUUAAACACUUUCACAGGGUCACAGGCUAUUAAAAUCAUCAGCUCAGAAAUGGGCUAACCUGCCAGUCAGUGUUCUGUCAGGGGAUAGACCACUGAACACAUGCCCUGCUCCCUGAUCCCUUCCUUCCAGCUCUUGUCACCAGCCACUUCCAGAGAGAACAUCAGUUUAGACAAACCUGUGCUCUCACCCAGUAGCAUACCCUUACAUUUUUAGGUAAGUUAGUAAGAAUUGGUUUUUGGCAAAAGAUUAUUCCUUCUGGCACAAUACCAUGGUAUAUUGCUUCUAGCUCAGUGGCAGCUUGCAGCAGGCUCAGUACCCCUGCACGCUGUUUCUUGCCUUGCUGAUACAUUUUAUUUAACAUGCACAUUAUAGGGAGCAGGACAUUUGUCCACUCCUGUUUAUUGAAUGCUCAAGAUGACUCUGUGUCAGUACUAGAUCCUAAGGUGAGCUGUCAGAGAGCCCCUGUGGAGCAAACACAUGGAGGCCCAGCCUCCAGCCCCCUCCAUCCAUCACCCCAGGUUAGCUGAUAUGAUAAACAACGUAAAUAGAAACGACUUGUUCUGAGCAAUAGCUGUUAAACCAAUAAACAUCCAAAACUCUGGAGAAAAAACACUGCUUUUCCUCAUUUAUCAAACAAGACUCUGUAUCUAUUUUUUUUCUCCCUCUUCUUAAACAAGUUCAGUUUGUAAAGAUUGAAGGAAAACAAGACAUCCUUUCAAAUGCCUCCUUUGGAUCAAACCUCAUUGGGUUUUGAUGUCAAUGGUGCAUAGAAGGGUGACCACUGCCAGCACAAGUAUUUGGCAGCAGGGCUGUUACAUAAUACAAUCCUGUCUUUCACAGGAGAGAGAUCUCUGUGCUACUCAAUGUGCUAAAAUUUAACCCACUGCUUUGCUCCAUCCAGCCAAAACAACCUUGUACAUUUUUCCAUAGCACUAAACGAUGGCUAUUAAAAAAAAAAAAAA